AAUAUUGGACAAUGGGCGAAAGCCUGACCCAGCCAUGCCGCGUGAGUGAAGAAUGUANNNGGAUUNUAAAGCAUUUUUUGGUGNGAANUAUGGCAGUAAGUAAAUACCUUGCUGUUUUGUCGUUAGCGACAGAAGAUGCACCCGCUAACUUCGAGCUAGCAGCCGCGGUAAUACGUAGGGGGCAAGCGUUGUCCGGAAUUAUUGGGCAUAAAGGGCACGCAGGCGGUUAUUUAAGUCUGAUGUGAAAUCUUGUGGCUUAACCACAAGCGGUCAUUGGAAACUGGAUAACUUGAGUACAGAAGAGGAGAGUGGAAUUCCACGUGUAGCGGUGAAAUGCGUAGAGAUGUGGAGGAACACCAGUGGCGAAGGCGGCUCUCUGGUCUGUAACUGACGCUGAGGUGCGAAAGCGUGGGUAGCGAACA
rnacentral:rRNA from 1 species